rnacentral:rRNA from 1 species
AACGUAGGAGGCAAGCGUUAUCCGGAUUUACUGGGCGUAAAGGGUGUGCAGGCGGUUGUCCAAGUCGUGUAUGAAAGCGCUCCGCUUAACGGGGCGAGGCUAGACGAGACUGGGCGACUAGAAUCAGACAGAGGCAAGCGGAAUUCCGGGUGUAGUGGUGAAAUGCGUAGAUAUCUGGAGGAACACCGGUGGCGAAGGCGGCAUCCUGGACCAAUAUUGACGCUGAGUGAGCGAAAGCCAGGGGAGCAAACGGG